UUCUCCUGGGAAACGGGUGGUAAUGCCGGAUGCUCCGACUCCUCGCAUGGGGUGUCGGGAAAGAUUUCAUCGGUAUGGGAUGGGGUCGCGUCCUAUCAGGUAGUCGGCGGGGUAACGGCCCACCGAGCCUACGACGGGUAGCCGGCCUGAGAGGGCGACCGGCCACAUUGGGACUGAGAUACGGCCCAGACUCCUACGGGAGGCAGCAGUGGGGAAUAUUGCACAAUGGGCGCAAGCCUGAUGCAGCGACGCCGCGUGCGGGAUGACGGCCUUCGGGUUGUAAACCGCUUUUGAUCGGGAGCAAGCCUUCGGGUGAGUGUACCUUUCGAAUAAGCACCGGCUAACUACGUGCCAGCAGCCGCGGUAAUACGUAGGGUGCAAGCGUUAUCCGGAAUUAUUGGGCGUAAAGGGCUCGUAGGCGGUUCGUCGCGUCCGGUGUGAAAGUCCAUCGCUUAACGGUGGAUCUGCGCCGGGUACGGGCGGGCUGGAGUGCGGUAGGGGAGACUGGAAUUCCCGGUGUAACGGUGGAAUGUGUAGAUAUCGGAAAAGAACACCA
rnacentral:rRNA from 1 species